GUGGGGAAUAUUGGACAAUGGGCGCAAGCCUGAUCCAGCCAUGCCGCGUGAGUGAUGAAGGCCCUAGGGUUGUAAAGCUCUUUCACCGGAGAAGAUAAUGACGGUAUCCGGAGAAGAAGCCCCGGCUAACUUCGUGCCAGCAGCCGCGGUAAUACGAAGGGGGCUAGCGUUGUUCGGAAUUACUGGGCGUAAAGCGCACGUAGGCGGACAUUUAAGUCAGGGGUGAAAUCCCGGAGCUCAACUCCGGAACUGCCUUUGAUACUGGGUGUCUGGAGUAUGGAAGAGGUGAGUGGAAUUCCGAGUGUAGAGGUGAAAUUCGUAGAUAUUCGGAGGAACACCAGUGGCGAAGGCGGCUCACUGGUCCAUUACUGACGCUGAGGUGCGAAAGCGUGGGGAGCAAACAGGAUUAGAAACCCGGGUAGUCC
rnacentral:rRNA from 1 species